GACGAACGCUGGCGGCGUGCUUAACACAUGCAAGUCGAACGGUAAGGCCCUUCGGGGUACACGAGUGGCGAACGGGUGAGUAACACGUGGGUGAUCUGCCCUGCACUUCGGGAUAAGCCUGGGAAACUGGGUCUAAUACCGGAUAGGACCAUUGCCUGCAUGGGUGGUGGUGGAAAGCUUUUGCGGUGUGGGAUGGGCCCGCGGCCUAUCAGCUUGUUGGUGGGGUGAUGGCCUACCAAGGCGACGACGGGUAGCCGGCCUGAGAGGGUGACCGGCCAGACUGGGCCGGAGAUACGGCCCAGACUCCUACGGGAGGCAGCAGGGGGGAAUAUUGCACAAUGGGCGCAAGCCUGAUGCAGCGACGCCGCGUGAGGGAUGACGGCCUUCGGGUUGUAAACCUCUUUCAGUAGGGACGAAGCGCAAGUGACGGUACCUACAGAAGAAGGACCGGCCAACUACGUGCCAGCCGCCGCCGUAA
rnacentral:rRNA from 1 species